GUCAAAUUUAAUAAGAAUUUGAACUGAAAAAUAAAUAAACACCCUUUGGAGUCAGGCUAAAAGGUUUAUAAUGUAGCUAUCCUUAAAUGAAAACAAUCUGCAAUGUUAAUCAAAAAAUGUGCAUGAUAAAUAAAGAUAUUGUCUCUCAAAAGAGAGAGUCGGUUCUGAAUCGCCUUAACGAGUCGUUAUAUUUUCAAAUCUUUUGCCUGUUACGGGUAUACUGUACAUCUGUCACAGUACACAGGCAGAGACAGGAGCUAAGUGUUCUAAGCAGGUGGGUUUAUUGACAAUGACUGAAGAGCAAGGUACUAAGUACUAGUUGAAAAUAAGUCUCUUUGUCUUUGUUGCAGGUAUCCUGGUGGAGCUCGGGAAUGAAGGCACUCAGGAUCAUAGGAACACUGGAGGUAACUAACACACCGUGAGUAUACAGGUAAGUAAGGUCUGAAAACAGUUAAGAUAGUAAACAGCAAGUCAGACGGCGAGUGACUGAAAGGAGCAUGCUUUUGAAGGUGGCUUGAUUGGAGGCGGCAGGUGCAGGUGAUCAGAAUCCAGGUGAGUGUGAUCUGGUGAGAGUGGUGAUCAUGACUGAACAGGUGUGCGCCGGGGAGAAUUCUGGGAAAUGGAGUCCAGAGCUGGUGACGGGUGACAGAUACUCCCUGACAACGUCACUGGGUAACACAUUUGCAUAAUCCCCCUGCCCAUGAAAUACGAACACUCUGACCUGCCCACAAACACUUCCGCUAGUAAGUGUGUUUACAUCAUGUUUAAGAAGACGCUGUGUUCAAGGAUACCACAGAAAUACAAUUCAAACCUUUUGUUGUGUGCUUGUCAUUUUAUCAAGAACUGCUUCUUUAAUCUGGGCUUUUAUCUUCGUUGUCUUCUCAUCUUCUUAAUUUGGACUAACAAGCUCUCCGAACCACAACCUAAGGAACCAAUCAGCACAUCUCCUGCAAAAGUGAAAGUAAAAACAGAGCGGCAGAAAAGAGCACAAAGAACAGCAAACAAUAUCCAAACUCCACACAGGGAUGCAACAGUCACAUAUAUUAUCAGCUGUUUGCUUACCGAUACAUUUACAAUUUUGGAUCAGAAAGGAGGUUCAUAAACAGUUAAAAAUCAAUUUAUUAUUAAAUCUGAUUCUUUAUCAUUCAAUCGAUUUAUGGCCAUCAAUCACUUGGGAAACCAUUAAAUUAAAAUAAAAUUAAAAUUCUCUGUGACUUAGAAAUUUAA
ensembl:lncRNA